CAAAAUAAGUAUUUUAUAAAAACAUACAUAUAAAUAUUAAUUUUAGUAGAAUAUUCAUCUAAAUUCGAUAUUUAAAAGGUAUUUAAAAAAAAUAAAAGUAAUGUCGCUGUACAGGCCGUUAGGCGUUAGCUCCAAAUGUCCAUCUCUAAAGUUCCUUCCCGAAGACCACGAUCGCCUCUCUCUAUACCCCUCCGGCCCCUUCGCUCCGCUGCUUCUCCCGCGAGCUUUCCUCCGUUCCGUCUGUCCCCGCGCCCGCCCGGUCUUCUUCGGCGCGCACGCAAGAAGCCGACGAAGCCCAUGACCUCCCACACGGCCUCCGCUUCCUCGAGGCUUUCCAGGGUCGCUCGCCCCCUUCGCCUCUACCGCGGACAAUGGCGCCGGGGAUCCCAACAAAAAAGAGCCUGCUGUUACUCGCUACUCCGUGCAUUACAAUUUUCAUCAAACUGUACACCAGCAAGCUCAAAGUAUGGGUUGCAGAUGUACAAUCAGGAAGCCACUUUUCCAGUCACCUGAUAUAUACUUACAUCCAAUUUUUUGACUGUUGAGGGUUAGCUUUAUUGCUUGUCGGCCUGCACACACUUCCUUCAUUGUGCUAAUGCUUCUCUAGCUGUGGUUUUGUAGUUUUGUAUGGGUCAAUGAUUCCACAUUGUUGGUUUGCAUACUUCCUGUAUCUCGUGGAUCUCCACCAAAGAAACCAUUGGUUCCUUCUGGCCCAAAAAUUCAAUCAAAUGAGAAGCAAAAUGUUAUUCAAUUUAGGACCUUCCAGGAUCUGCUAAAAGAUGAAUAUGAUGAAGCUUUGUUUGACUGCUAUGCCACAUUGCAACGAUUAUUGGCCUCUUUGGAUGGGACAAUCGUACUUGCUCUUGCUUGUUUUGGUGGCUUACCCAAAUAGAAUUGCUGUUGGAGGUCAUUCUUACGGGGCAGUUAUGGCAGCUGAUCUCUUAGCCCAUGCUCCCCAUCUUUUCUGCUGUCGAAUUGCUCAUUCUGGAGAUUACAACAGGACCCUAACUCCCUUUGCCUUUCAGAAUGAAGAUAUAACUCUUGGGAGGCCACUAAUACUUAUGUUGAGAUGAGCCCUUUCAUGUCUGCAAAUAAAAUAAAAAACAAUUCUAUUGAUACGUGGAGAAGAAGACAACAAUUCAGGAACGCUAACAAUGCAGAUCAAGUUGAUUGUAUGAUGGCUUCUGUGGGCAAUCAACCUACUCAUCUACCUAAGAGAUAUACUAGUAGUAGCAACAUUGUGCUUGGGCACCAAACAUGCGCACCAUAAAAUUUGGUUCCAAACUUACUGGAAUUCUUUCAAAAAGCCAUCCUGCAUUUAAACAAGGAUGCUUGAUGGAAAACUGGCACCAACAAUAGUAAUGACUCAUUUGCCAAUGAGACCGUGUGUUUUUAAGGUUGCUGUUUGGUUGGUGCUGUGGCUUCCAUUUGUUUGGGGUAGAUGAAUCCUCAGAGGAGCUUAUUAAAAUGGUAUCCUUCCGUUGUUCUUUCUUUUUUUCUUGCUUUCUUUCCUUCUUUUUUUUUUUUUCUGUUGUUGUCUGCAAUGAUUAAAGAAAAAGGGAUUCUUGGGAGGCUCAGCGCAGACUCCUCAACUGGACUGGGGGUCUGGCUAGCUAUCAUGCAGCCAUGUGAAAUGCUUUUGAGGGGCCCCAAACACCAAGAAUAUUUAUUAAAUUCUACUUUUGGCUGUUCUUCAAGCACAGCCAAAAGCGACUUUUAACUGAAUUCCUCGCUCGUUGACACUAUGUGCUCAUCAAUAGGAACAGUACUGUAGUAAAAUUAUUUCUUAGAAGCAAGUUGGCAGCUUUUAUGUGGAAUUAAUUUUUUACAUUUUUUUUGUUUUUUUAUUUUUGAUACUCCCGAGGUUAAUGCCGGUUUCAGGGGUCGCUUCCUGAUCAAGUCCUUUAUCUUACAGAGAGGGCUGUACGCAUGUCGGAGAUGGAUAGAUUUUACAAGAUCCACACCUGAACCCAUUGAGCUAACAGGUGGAUUUGGGUAAAGGUUUCAUUGUCCCAGCAUUUUAUGGCUCUUGAUAUUUUUUUUUUAAAUUAUUAUUAUUAUUUGUUAUUUUUGCUAAUAUACAUUUGCUUUCAUGACAAACAGGCAGACAAAGUAAAUGAAUGGAAUUUUCAUAUGAAUACUGCUAUUCUUUAUCCGAGUGAUUUCCACCAAACGGAAUUUUAUGAUUUUCACCCUAUGGAGAUUUAAUCUCAAUUUUGAUGGUGCUCAUCUAAAUCCAGAAUGUGACAUUCAUCAAUAUAGAAUGUAAAAUAAUAUGAAUACAUUGACGUAGUUGAAACAAAUGUAAAUUCCUAAUGACUAUGCAAGCAAAAUAUUAAGAAACUAUCUACAGAAUUUUCACUUCAAUUACGUUUCAUCAAACAUUGAUUUGAUCGAAACUUGACGAUUUUGUAAUUGUCCGUUCAAGAUAGUUAUCGCUGCUGCCCUAGUAGCAUGGUUUGAUGAUGCUACCCCGCCAACAAAUUAUGAUGUUGCUUCAAUUUUUGACACAUUUGUCAAAAUUUAGAAAAUUAAUUAAUAGUCAUCAUCCUAAAAUUUCAGGGACGUGUCAUUCAUUGGAUUCAUCUUAGAAUGUCAUACACAAUGGGUAGAAAUU